UGUGACCUCACAGAUCUCACAUUAGAGUCAAAUGUCCCAAGCUACCACCUAUGCAUGACUUGGCCUGGUUAACUCUGCUAUAUUUGUACUUACUGAAACUCAGUACAACUAUCACCCCCCACCCCUCUUCAAUCCUGAUCCAAACAAGGAACUUGUUUUAAAUUGGAUCUUCACACUUGAGUCAGAUCUAUGCAGGAACUCAGCAAGACAGGAAGCUUGUCCAGUGUGAGUCAUAGCUUCAACAACACUGUUAACCUGUAAAGAUGGGAAACUGAACUUCUCCCUGCCAUUGAAGGUCAAAUCCCAGUACAGAUGAUUUCAAGUGUUUCUAGGUUACUCAGCUAUGUUGCCUAGCAACCUGGACUCCUCAUUACCAGGGGUUUCCCCAAGGGUGAUGCCAGCCCCCUUGUGAAAAAGAAAUCUCCAUGCUGCCCACUUGAAAAUGAGGGUACAAUACUCUGAAUCCAUCAGAAGGAACAUCCGGGGAAAUAGAAAGCUACAGGGGCACAAUCUACUUAUGAAAACCCAGAAGCAAACCACCCAAACCACAGCCUCUGAUCCUCCCACAAGGGGAUAUUUUUACCACUCUCCAUAAUGCUGAGUAACUCACAAAAACUAUUAGCUACAGCAUAGAGAGGGUUGGAAGCUGAGUUGGUGGAAGGACUGCCCACACUAAUGAAUGCACAUCCUACAGCUCUGAAGGGUUGGAAGAAGGUGAUAUUAAUGAGCUUUUUUAUAAGCUUGUCACUGAAUUAUGGCCUUUUAAAAAAAUAUCAUGAAAAGUACUGCCUUUGGAGUCAAUACCAUUUUUUAAUCAGCCAUGUUCUUUUGCCUUUAUUAUCUGCCCACUCUC